AUUGAACGCUGGCGGAAUGCUUUACACAUGCAAGUCGAACGGCAGCACGGGAGCAAUCCUGGUGGCGAGUGGCGAACGGGUGAGUAAAGUAUCGGAACGUGCCCAGUCGUGGGGGAUAACGUAGCGAAAGUUACGCUAAUACCGCAUACGAUCUAUGGAUGAAAGCGGGGGAUCGCAAGACCUCGCGCGAUUGGAGCGGCCGAUAUCAGAUUAGGUAGUUGGGGGGGUAAAGGCUCACCAAGCCGACGAUCUGUAGCUGGUCUGAGAGGACGACCAGCCACCAUGGGACGGAGACACGGCCCAGACUCCUACGGGGGGCAGCAGUGGGAAUUUUGGACAAUGGGCGAAAGCCUGAUCCAGCCAUGCCGCGUGCAGGAUGAAGGCCUUCGGGUUGUAAACUGCUUUUGUACGGAACGAAAAGGUUUGGCCUAAUAAGCUGAGCUCAUGACGGUACCGUAAGAAUAAGCACCGGCUAACUACGUGCCAGCCGCCGCCGUAA
rnacentral:rRNA from 1 species